GACGAACGCUGGCGGCGUGCCUAAUACAUGCAAGUCGAACGCAGUGGGGACGGGUGAGCAACACGUGGGUAACCUCCCAUCAGAGGGGAUAACAAAUGGAAACAGGUGCUAAACCGAUACGGACGGAUGAACCCGCGGUGCAUUAGCUAGUUGGUGAGGUAACGGCUCACCAAGGCCAUGAUGCAUAGCCGACCUGGGAGGGGGAUCGGCCAAACUGGGACUGAGACACGGCCCAGACUCCUACGGGAGGCAGCAGUGGGGAAUGUUCGGCAAUUGGCGAAAGUCUGACCGAGCUACGCCGCGUGAGUGAAGAAGGUUUUCGGAGCGUAAAGCUCUGUUGUUAGAGAAGCGGUAUCUAACCAGAAAGCCACGGCUAACUACGUGCCAGCAGCCGCGGUAAUAC
rnacentral:rRNA from 1 species